UACACCUGGCAGUAGCAGCAUGGAGCAACCUGAUCGUGGAAACGCAGAGUAAAUGCAUGUCCUCCGCACCAAAGAAGAUUCCAAAAACUUGAAAGAAAAUCCACGAUCCACAACAUCCGAACGCGCGAAGCUUGUAUGCGUAUCUAAAUUAGAGAUCCAAAACCCAUUUCCCCAAACAUCCACACCACUUUGAUGACCCUAUAUACUCGUCCUAUUCAUUUCACUCAGCAGAGAGAUCUCGGACCCAAGAGAAAAUCCGAAAAACCCGAAUUCCGUAAUCUCUUUGCGAACACCACUCGACCCAAUGUCUUCAACAGCCCUACCCGACCCAAGAAGUUUUGGAGAGGUAGUGAACCCAAUCAAGCAGCGACAGCAUGUGGAAGAUUUUGGAGAUGCACUCAGGACGGUGAACAUUGUGGCACCAUUGAACCUAAGAAGAGAAGAUCUCGAAGGCGUGAGUAUUGGUGAGCUUGACUCGACACCAAAAACAACAUUUCUGCCCGAUUCUGCUCUGUAUCGCCUUCGACGUCCGAUCAAGAAUUCUUUUGCAGUAUAAUGGUUAGAACUCCACCGAUGACGAAGACACAACAGAGGACCAACGACAUGAGUUUGAUGAGAUUUUCUGAAGGAAAUCUGAAGUAUCUUGCCACUGAUGUUGAAUUGUCUGAGAACUCAACUGUAGGUGUCGAGUUUCCGAUGCGGAAGGGAGACUCCACCGCUGCCAUUGGAAUCGUUGAGGAAUCUUUGUGCUCUAUUUCGGAAAUUAGAUGAUGAUUGCUUACCUUGUGUAAGGCGCAUAAUAGCAAGUGGUGAAAAAACCGACUGAAAUACUAAGAAGAGAAGGCCCAAAAAUUGAUGAUGGAAGCAUAGUGCAAAAAUCUCUUGUUAAGUAGGUCGGAGGCAUCGGCUGCUCCAACUGCUUUGAGUUGAUGGGUGUAGAUGGGCUCGUUAAUACCAGACACUGUCCUGAUUCUUGAUUUAGGGAGCUAAUGAGUGUUGUUGAAUGCACAUCUUUCUUGACAAAAUCACAUUCCUCAAACACCGAGUUUUCCAUUAUUGUCGCAUCUUCUAUGCAUGUAGACUUUGCUGGCUCUGAUUGUUUAAAUUUUUCAUCGGUAGCUUCUUGAAUCGUGAACUCCUUCUCUACAGUUUUGUGUUCGUCUUUUUCAUCUUCGACAAAGUCAUUAUCCAGCUAAACUAUUUAGAUUGAAGCCUUGGACAAAUCUCUGGAGUUCAGGCUGAAGUCCGUUGAUGAAGACCUUGAUGGCGGUGGACUUUGGAAGGUGUGCAUACGGUAAGAUUUCUCGGAAUUGCUGUGCAUAUUCAGUCACAGAUGAAACGUGCUUCAGCUGUCCUAACUCUGUGACUGCUAUGAGGAUCGUUUUUCUGGUGACUGAAGGUGGAGGAGGAAUGGUGGUAGUAGACACAGAUGUCGUCAUUGUCGAAGGAGGAUACAAGUGCUGGUUGACAAGUAGAGUGAGCUUAGCCGAUAUUUCAUUCAUCUGUUGUGAAAUGUGAGACAUAGAUUGCUUAAAAUCAAGGCAGUGCUCUAGUUCACCUCUACGACCGGAGGAUCGAAUCUCCAACGGCUCCUCCAUGGCCAAAGAGGAGGCUCUGAUACCUUUGAUAGAGGUAGAAGAGAAAAAGGAGGCAAGAGGAGAGGCAGAAGAAGAACAGAGAGAGAGAUUAAUUUCAUUCAUAAUAACCCAUUACAACCUAAAUGCCUAUUUAUAGAGAUAUACUAAAUACUCAAAUUACUCUUA